CGCCAUAAUUCAGUACUUAAAUCAUUCAAGACAAUCUUAUUCAGCCGUUAGAAGAAGCUUAAAGCAGCUAAUCCUGCUUCUGCCAACAACCAGUUACAAAGAGAAUCCAAUAUUGAGAAUCACAUUGUCCAUAUCUUAAUAACAGGCCCUACCUGUUUGGAGACCCUGGUUCCAAAAAGUGGUAGAAUUAGAUGCAAACAAUCCUGAAUAAAUCUUCUCAAGUAUGCCAUUUGAGAACUAACUAGCAUAAUUGAGAAUGAAUAGCCACUGUAGUGCUUUUUAGAAGUUGUGACAAGGAGACUUCAAAUAUCCCAAAGAAGAAAAAGAAUUAGCGUGAGUUAGCGGACAUAACUGAAAUGCAGCCAUCAGAUGGAUGUCUCUAUCUUGUCGUGCAGGGUGACCACCAAGUCAUGUGCAUCAUCUAGCAGCUUCCACACAUCGAGUUGCCCAGCCAUGCUAUUGCACUCCCUUAAAAUUUCAUCCAUGCUGUUAUACUUCUCUAUAAUUAAUUUCCUCCUCUGCAAUACUGAAGCUGCAAUAGCAUAAAGCAACAAAUCAUCUGUUGGUGGUGCUCGCUGCCUUAUCCUGCUCCAUGCUGACUUGCCAAUGCCAGCCCUUAUUUUGUCUCUGGGAAGUGAUGUGGGCAGAUCACUUCCCAGAGACAAAUUGUCUGUUCAAAAGUCAACUCCCUCAUGAACAGCACCACCACCAUCCUAUAAACAAAAAAACAAUCCUCAGCCUGGAGCUUCUCCAAGUGCCUGAAAAGGUGGGAGUCUUUGCAUUUGAUAAUCUUGGAAACAAUAUUCAAUUGUCUCCGAAUUCCCACUUCAUCGAGUCUAAAAUUAUGACGAGCCUUCUUCAUGAAACCAACAAAACACCAGAAUGCUUCAUGAUCCUCUGUAAUAACAGUAACAAUCGGAGAAAGUAGAUCACUCAUGCCCUGACAAUAGCCAAUUUCAGGGUCAUAGAGUGCAUAGGCUUCAAGAAUAGCAACCAAUCGGGCAGCAUGGAAAAUUUGGCAGGGUUCCAGAUGUUCGUAGUCCUUUAACCCAACAGCUUCAGCAGAACAGCAAGCUCUAUCCUCUGAUACUGAAGCCUGAGAUGGAGAGUAAGGUAUCCAUUCUGAAUUGGCACGCACUGCAUCUACACGAAUUAUCCGCUGCCAAGUAGCAAAAUUUUCAGCAGCAGGUGCACUCGAGUGGAGCUCAGUCCUUGAGGGAGAAGUAAACUCUUUGGAAGGCUCAUCAGGACCAUUAUUUUCCUGUCCUGAAGAAGAGGAAGCCUGAAUAACUGCUUCGGGGGUCUUCAGAGGAGUCUGAGUCAGAUGAUUCAGUGUUCAGUGCAGAGGCAUCAGUGUUUGUCAUCUGCUGUCUUGAACUAUCAUCAACUUCCAACAGUGUACUAGAGGGAUCAUCAGAGUACUCAACAUCUAGACUCCUUUCCUCACUGGAAAGGGAUUCCCUUGCACUAACCACAUCUUCAUAACUAGAAGAGUCCAUAUCUCGAACAAGACUUCCGCUAUCCACAUNGCUUGGUUCACUACUCCCAUUCAACUUAAAGCUCUCAUUGCUGUGUUUGAGGAGCCGUCGGCACUGUCUGCGGAGUUUCUCAUAUUC
rnacentral:misc_RNA from 1 species